UUAUUUUUUUGCAAAAAGAGGAGUACUACGGAGCAGUUACAUAGUCAUACAACUGUCAAGCACACCCUACAUUAAUUUAUUUUCAUUUUUAAUUAUUAAAUUAAUAAUUUAGGAUCCCUAGCCCAACCUCUUUCCCCUUUCCCCCUUCCAAUCCGCCUCUUUCUCAACUCAAUCUAGCUAUCUUCUGCAGUUCGGAAGUUCUUGAUUAAAAUUUCUUAUGCGGCGAUAAAAUUAACAACAACAAUGAUCCAGGUGAUAUACCCGAGACUAUACUGUAAGAAAUUUUCUACGUAAAGGCCAUAAUCGCAAUCAUACUAUAAAAGGAUCGUUGAGGAUUCUUACUGCUCUUGGUGUUGAGGUUUGUUGGUGUUCUUGCUACAUCUUCUCUACCGAGAAAAAUGAAAAAGAAAGUUUGCAAGAGGGAACUACUCUAAACGACAGAAGAAUUAUGUUUCUACUCGCCAGUUUAUUGGUUUAAUCAUUUUUUUGCUUCGAUUUCAAUUGUAAAUUUAAUGUAAUUCUCGUAUGUUUGUACUCAAAUUUUAUUAUAAUAAAAUCGUAUAUCGGCAAUUCCUGUAA